AUUGAACGCUGGCGGCAGGCCUAACACAUGCAAGUCGAGCGGAUGAAGGGAGCUUGCUCCUGGAUUCAGCGGCGGACGGGUGAGUAAUGCCUAGGAAUCUGCCUGGUAGUGGGGGAUAACGUCCGGAAACGGGCGCUAAUACCGCAUACGUCCUGAGGGAGAAAGUGGGGGAUCUUCGGACCUCACGCUAUCAGAUGAGCCUAGGUCGGAUUAGCUAGUUGGUGGGGUAAAGGCCUACCAAGGCGACGAUCCGUAACUGGUCUGAGAGGAUGAUCAGUCACACGGUAACUGAGACACAGUCCAGACUCCGACGGGGAGACGCAGUGGAGAAUAUUAGACGAUGGGGGAGUGCCUGAUCCAGCCAUGUCGCGUGUGUGAAGAUGGUCUUAUGAUGGUUAAGCACUGUAGGUUGGAAGGUAGUGCAGUAAGUUAAUACCUUGCUAUUUUGACGUUACCAACAGAAUAAGCUCCGGCUAACUUCGUG
rnacentral:rRNA from 1 species